rnacentral:rRNA from 1 species
AUUGAACGCUGGCGGCAGGCUUAACACAUGCAAGUCGAACGAGUGGCGGAAGGGUGAGUAAUGUCUGGGAAACUGCCUGAUGGAGGGGGAUAACUACUGGAAACGGUAGCUAAUACCGCAUACCAUCGGAUGUGCCCAGAUGGGAUUAGCUAGUAGGUGGGGUAAAGGCUCACCUAGGCGACGAUCCAUAGCUGGUCUGAGAGGAUGACCAGCAACACUGGAACUGAGACACGGCCCAUACUCCUACGGGAGGCAGCAGUGGGGAAUUGUGCACAAUGGGCGAAAGCCUGAUGCAGCCAUGCCGCGUGUAUGACGAAGGCCUUCGGGUUGUAAAGUACUUUCAGCGGGGAGGCGUUACCCGCAGAAGAAGCACCGGCUAACUCCGUGCCAGCAGCCGCGGUAAUUC